UGGGGAAUAUUGGACAAUGGGGGGAACCCUGAUCCAGCCAUGCCGCGUGUGUGAAGAAGGCCUUAUGGUUGUAAAGCACUUUAAGCGAGGAGGAGGGUACUGGUAUUAAUACUACCAGGUACUGGACGUUACUCGCAGAAUAAGCACCGGCUAACUCUGUGCCAGCAGCCGCGGUAAUACAGAGGGUGCGAGCGUUAAUCGGAUUUACUGGGCGUAAAGCGUGCGUAGGCGGCUAAUUGAGUCGGAUGUGAAAUCCCCGAGCUUAACUUGGGAAUUGCAUUCGAUACUGGUUAGCUAGAGUGUGGGAGAGGAUGGUAGAAUUCCAGGUGUAGCGGUGAAAUGCGUAGAGAUCUGGAGGAAUACCGAUGGCGAAGGCAGCCAUCUGGCCUAACACUGACGCUGAGGUACGAAAGCAAGGGGAGCAAACAGG
rnacentral:rRNA from 1 species